GACGAACGCUGGCGGCGUGCUUAACACAUGCAAGUCGAGCGGUAAGGCCCUUUCGGGGGUACACGAGCGGCGAACGGGUGAGUAACACGUGGGUGACCUGCCCUCAGCUCUGGGAUAAGCCCGGGAAACUGGGUCUAAUACUGGAUAUGACUCCACGGUGCAUGUCGUGGGGUGGAAAGCCUUGUGCGGCUGAGGAUGGGCCCGCGGCCUAUCAGCUUGUUGGUGGGGUGAUGGCCUACCAAGGCGACGACGGGUAGCCGGCCUGAGAGGGCGACCGGCCACACUGGGACUGAGACACGGCCCAGACUCCUACGGGAGGCAGCAGUGGGGAAUCUUGCGCAAUGGGCGAAAGCCUGACGCAGCGACGCCGCGUGAGGGAUGACGGCCUC
rnacentral:rRNA from 1 species